CACACACACACACACACACAAAUUUUCCAGGAAAAUGUUUGAUGCCUCAUGAUCAGGAGAUUAAGCAAUGGGAGCAAGAUUAAAUCCCUCAGGCAAACACUCGACAAAUGAUCACUAGACACAGUGACUUUGUAAUAAUGACCAUCACCUUGCCGUUUCAUUUAAUGUUUAAAAGAAGAUUCUGGAAGUACCCAACAAAAUGGAAGAAGAAACAGAGAAAAAAUAAAGAGAAUGUUGCUAUCUCAACUAUCUACUACUAUUUUAGAGUCUUCAAGGACACAAACAAUUUUUUUAAAAAAACUUUUGCUUCCAAGAUUUAUGAAUUCUGACUACAAGGAGAAACCGAGGAAAGCAUUCUGAGAAUCUGUGCUUCUACUGUGCUAAUGUGUCAAAUAAGGAUUAUCAAGAAGACUGACGAAGUAGCAUAUUUGGAAGAACUUUGAGAACCUACUUAAGAAAGCAUUACAUAUGUGUGAAGUAUUGUAAAGAGGCAAUGGAGGAAAAUGUAUUGGCUGGGGAAACAAUUGGCAACAGGCAGAAGGCAACAUUUCUAGCAGCUGGACAGAAAAUGUGAAGCAAUACUGAGCCAGGUGAAUGGAAAAAGGAUUUAGUUUUAUUGGAGGAGGAUGACAAGCGCCAGCAAUGUGGAAAGAAGUGGAAAGCAGACUUGACUGUUUGGAGAACAUUCUUGGAGAGUACCUGAUGAGAAUUCCAGAUUGUCAACUGGACGUUUACCUUAAGUUUCCCAGGUGCCAACUCCUUGCCAUGGAAUUUCAAUAGACAUUUGUUUUUAAG